rnacentral:rRNA from 1 species
UACGAAGGGGGCUAGCGUUGCUCGGAAUCACCGGGCGUAAAGGGUGCGUAGGCGGGUCUUUAAGUCAGGGGUGAAAUCCUGGAGCUCAACUCCAGAACUGCCUUUGAUACUGAGGAUCUUGAGUUCGGGAGAGGUGAGUGGAACUGCGAGUGUAGAGGUGAAAUUCGUAGAUAUUCGCAAGAACACCAGUGGCGAAGGCGGCUCACUGGCCCGGUACUGACGCUGAGGUGCGAAAGCGUGGGGAGCAAACAGG